UACAGAGGUCUCAAGCGUUGUUCGGAUUCAUUGGGCGUAAAGGGUGCGUAGGCGGCGCGGUAAGUCGGGUGUGAAAUCUUGGAGCUUAACUCCGAAACUGCAUUCGAUACUGCCGUGCUUGAGGACUGGAGAGGAGACUGGAAUUUACGGUGUAGCGGUGAAAUGCGUUAGAUAUCGUAAGGAAGACCAGUGGCGAAGGCGGGUCUCUGGACAGGUUCCUGACGCUGAGGCACGAAGGCAGGGGAGCAAACGGGGAUUAGAACCUACCUGU
rnacentral:rRNA from 1 species